AUUACCCCGCUACCAGACAGUUCUGUGCUUGACGGAGCAUCCCCUAACGACAAACACUCCCAUUUCGAUUCCUUGAAAAAGGCCCAAAACGGGUCGAAACGUCGGAUGAAGAGAA